AAAUUGGGCAGGAAGCUGAAUCCGCAGAAACGUGAUACAGGUGUCACCACUUUGUCUACCACAUAUUCCACGAUCACCAAGACAUUGUCCAUGAUCGCAGAGAUCUUGUCAAAGAUGAGAGAGACGUUGUCCAUGAUCAGAGACAUUGUCCCAUGCUUCGUAGAGACCUUGCGAUAGAAUCGGCGGAGACGGGGGUCACCGAUUUGACGGCAUUGCCCGCGAUCAUGGAGACAUUGUCAAUGAUCACAGAGGCACCGUCUGUGAUCUCAGAGACAUCGUCCACGAUCACAAAGACAUUGUCCAUGAUCGCAGUGACUUUGUCCAUAAUCUCAGAGACAUUGCCCGCGAUCACAGAGACGUAGUCCACGAUCACAGAGUCUUCAUACAAUGAAGAAGUUCAUUGAGACCAGGACAGAGGCCUCCAGGUGUCACCACUUUGUCCACAACAUCGUCCAUGAUCGCAGAGACUUCGUCCGUGAUCAGAGAGACAUUGUUGAGGAUGAGGGAGACAUCGUCCAUGAUCAGAGACAUUGUCCAUGAUCGCAGAGACCUUGUCAAAGAUGAGAGAGACGUUGUCCAUGAUCAGAGACAUUGUCCCAUGCUUCGUAGAGACCUUGCGAUAGAAUCGGCGGAGACGGGGUCACCGAUUUGACGGCAUUGCCCGCGAUCAUGGAGACAUUGUCGAUGAUCACAGAGGCACCGUCUGUGAUCUCAGAGACAUCGUCCACGAUAACAAAGACAUUGUCCAUGAUCACAGAGACUUUGUCCAUAAUCUCAGAGACAUUGCCCGCGAUCACAGAGACGUAGUCCACGAUCACAGAGAGUGUUCAUACAAUGAAGAAGUUCUUUGAGACCAGGACACAGGCCACCAGCUGAAUUCAUGGAACAGAAUCAGCCAAAAGUGAAGGAGAAGACUAAAGCAGCGGAAGACCUGCAGUGGAUGAAAGAAAAAAAGUGUUACGAAGCUGUUAAGACUUCCAACGUCUAACUGCUGUAAACAGUUGGUUUCCUGUUGUUCAAGUGAAAACACUUUGUUUUUCCAUCUAUAAUGUAGUCAUUGGCACAUUUUCCUAAAUCUUUAUCAAACACCUUUGAGAACAUUCAACAGCAUAUGCUACAGAUAAUUAAUAAUUGUAUCACAAGUAGUUAAAUGAUCACAAAGAUGCUUCGUAGACAUGUUCAUCUUUGGAAAAUGUGCUCAUAACUACAUUAACCCUAACACUGAGUGUUUCCUUGUGGUCAAAUGUCAUUAUCUUUACUGUGAUUUGUUAAAUGUCUGGAAUAAAAUAAUUUGAGUUUAAUUUCUCUAUUUUGUAACUGAAGUUAAACAAAUCAUUUUAUUUUAAGGAAAAAAUGUUAUGAUUGUCAUGUUUUAAUUUUUAAAUAUAUUUUUUAAGGUUUAUACUUAACUUUUAAAUUUGUUCUACAGUCAUUGUUCAGACUUGUAGUUUUUUAAACUAAUGUUCACUUAAGACAUUUUGUACAGGUUUCAUACUUAAUUCUUAGACCUAUUUGUAAAGGGUUCAUAUAUAUAUACACAUACAUACAUAUGUGUGUGUGUGUGUGUGUGUGUGUGUGCUCAUAGCUACAUUAACCCUAACUCUAUCAAGUGUUUCCUCGUGGUCAAAUGUCUGUCAUUAUCUUUGCUGUAAUUUGUUAAAUGUUCUAAACUUUUUAGUUGUAUUUCUCUAUUUUGAAACUGAUGUCAUUUUAUUAUAAGAAAAAGUCAUUUUUUAAGGUUUUACACUUAUUGUUCUUUUAAAGGUUUUGUGCUUAACUUUCUAUGGGUUUAAAACUUAUUGUUUAGCCAUUUUUUAAGGUUCUAAAUUUAUUUUAUUUAAUUCUUAGACCUAUUUUAAAGGUUUUAUAUAUAUAUAUAUAUAUAAUAUAUACACUUUUCAAGUCUGUGUAAAGCACUUUUACUCAUGGCAUUCUGAGUUAGUCAUACCACAGAAAAAAGUGCUAUUAACUACCCAGCUAAAAUCGAAUGGUUAAAAAAAAAAAAAAUCAGCAAACAUAUAAAAUAAGGUUUCAAAAUCAAGAAAAAAUAAGGGGCUGGGGGCGUGUCCGCUGAAGGUGCGGAAACCACGCCCACUCGAUGCAGCACAAUGACAGUUAGCAUCCUGUUAGCAUCCUAUCCUGUACAUGUUUGUGCCACCAGAACUUUUUGUUUUUGUUGAUCUGUCUUCAAGGACUCAAGAAACAAGUUGCAUUCUUUGUGCAGUUGUGUUACUGCCCCACUCUAACCAGUAUUUUCUAUCAUAAUAUUUUUGCAGACAAAUCUCUGAAUUUGCUUUACACAGACUUUAAAGGUUGAACAAUUAAAGGUUUUAAAUGUGUUCUUAAAGUUUGUAUAUUUACUUUUUAGAACUAUUUCAGUUGAAAAAUACUAAUUAGUACUAAUUACACCUGAUAAGUUGCAGCGGCUUUAAUUUGUUGCUAUUUGUUCUAGACAAGAGGUUUUUAGGUGUCAAACUACAGCUGAGAUAAUUGUCAGACUGGGUUAGGGUUAGAAUAAACCAACACUGACCUUCAGGAAAUGUCUUCAUGUCUGUCUCUUCUCUCUGAUUUAAUGGUUCAAGUUUGAAUUCUGUGGAGAAAAACACAAUAAACACGAAUAUGAAGAUGUGACUUUUAACA